GCAAGUCGAGCGAAUGGAUUAAGAGCUUGCUCUUAUGAAGUUAGCGGCGGACGGGUGAGUAACACGUGGGUAACCUGCCCAUAAGACUGGGAUAACUCCGGGAAACCGGGGCUAAUACCGGAUAACAUUUUGAACUGCAUGGUUCGAAAUUGAAAGGCGGCUUCGGCUGUCACUUAUGGAUGGACCCGCGUCGCAUUAGCUAGUUGGUGAGGUAACGGCUCACCAAGGCAACGAUGCGUAGCCGACCUGAGAGGGUGAUCGGCCACACUGGGACUGAGACACGGCCCAGACUCCUACGGGAGGCAGCAGUAGGGAAUCUUCCGCAAUGGACGAAAGUCUGACGGAGCAACGCCGCGUGAGUGAUGAAGGCUUUCGGGUCGUAAAACUCUGUUGUUAGGGAAGAACAAGUGCUAGUUGAAUAAGCUGGCACCUUGACGGUACCUAACCAGAAAGCCACGGCUAACUACGUGCCAGCAGCCGCGGUAAUACGUAGGUGGCAAGCGUUAUCCGGAAUUAUUGGGCGUAAAGCGCGCGCAGGUGGUUUCUUAAGUCUGAUGUGAAAGCCCACGGCUCAACCGUGGAGGGUCAUUGGAAACUGGGAGACUUGAGUGCAGAAGAGGAAAGUGGAAUUCCAUGUGUAGCGGUGAAAUGCGUAGAGAUAUGGAGGAACACCAGUGGCGAAGGCGACUUUCUGGUCUG
rnacentral:rRNA from 1 species